UACGUAGGGUGCAAGCGUUGUCCGGAAUUAUUGGGCGUAAAGAGCUCGUAGGCGGUCUGUCACGUCGGCUGUGAAAACCCGAGGCUCAACCUCGGGCCUGCAGUCGAUACGGGCAAACUAGAGUACUGCAGGGGAGACUGGAAUUCCUGGUGUAGCGGUGAAAUGCGCAGAUAUCAGGAGGAACACCGGUGGCGAAGGCGGCCUUCUGGACUGACACUGACGCUGAGGCGCGAAAGCCAGGGGAGCAAACGGG
rnacentral:rRNA from 1 species